UACGGGGGGGGCAAGCGGUUGUUCGGAAUUACUGGGCGUAAAGGGCUCGUAGGCGGCCAACUAAGUCAGACGUGAAAUCCCUCGGCUUAACCGGGGAACUGCGUCUGAUACUGGAUGGCUUGAGGUUGGGAGAGGGAUGCGGAAUUCCAGGUGUAGAGGUGAAAUUCGUAGAUAUCAGGAGGAACACCGAUGGCGAAGGCAGGUCUCUGGGCUGACACUGACGCUCAUGCACGAAAGCGUGGGGAGCAAACAGG
rnacentral:rRNA from 1 species